GAACGCUGGCGGCAUGCUUUACACAUGCAAGUCCGGACGGCAGCACAGAGAAGCUUGCUUCUUGGGUGGCGAGUGGCGAACGGGUGAGUAACAUAUCGGAACGUACCGAGCAGUGGGGGAUAACUAAUCGAAAGAUUAGCUAAUACCGCAUAUUUUCUGAGGAAGAAAGCAGGGGACCAUUUGGCCUUGCGCUGUUUGAGCGGCCGAUAUCUGAUUAGCUAGUUGGUGGGGUAAAGGCCUACCAAGGCGACGAUCAGUAGCGGGUCUGAGAGGAUGAUCCGCCACACUGGGACUGAGACACGGCCCAGACUCCUACGGGAGGCAGCAGUGGGGAAUUUUGGACAAUGGGCGCAAGCCUGAUCCAGCCAUGCCGCGUGUCUGAAGAAGGCCUUCGGGUUGUAAAGGACUUUUGUCAGGGAAGAAAAGGGCGGGGUUAAUACCCCUGUCUGAUGACGGUACCUGAAGAAUAAGCACCGGCUAACUACGUGCCAGCAGCCGCGGUAAUACGUAGGGUGCGAGCGUUAAUCGGAAUUACUGGGCGUAAAGCGGGCGCAGACGGUUACUUAAGCAGGAUGUGAAAUCCCCGGGCUCAACCUGGGAACUGCGUUCUGAACUGGGUGACUAGAGUGUGUCAGAGGGAGGUAGAAUUCCACGUGUAGCAGUGAAAUGCGUAGAGAUGUGGAGGAAUACCGAGGGAAGGCAGGCUUCCAUUUACC
rnacentral:rRNA from 1 species